UAUGUCACGAUUAAUUAGAUGUAUAUAAAGACUGAUUUUAUCAAAUAUAUUUUAUUAAUAUAUAAUCAAUAAAAAACAUGAUUAAAAGUUGCUUGUAUCUAAUGGGAUUUCUAUAUACUGUGAUAAUUAUUUUGAACUUCCUAAUUCCUAUAUCCACAGGAUGCCCACUCUUUGAUUCAACAAACCCUGUAGUAAAUGCUCAACUGCGUUAUGUAAAUGAAUAUGGUCGAGCUCUCUUCUGCCAUGACUAUUGCACCUCAAAUGAACAUCUCUGCUGUUAUUGCACACCCUAACAGCUAACCCUAUAGAUUAUAGAUUAUUUUUUUAUACAUGUCAUCUUGUAAUUUUUAUUGUACGAAAAUUGGGGAUUUAUAAAGGUGUAUUUUAUUUAUAUAUAUAUAUCAUAACAACUAAAAUUAUACUACUAACUAGUAAUAUUAAUAAAGAAAAAUAUAGUGUAAACAUA